GGCAUAGCUCAAAUGGUAGAGCAACUGACUUGUAAUCAGUAGGUUGAGGGUUCAAUUCCUUUUGCC
rnacentral:tRNA from 4 species